GUUUGUUUGGAGAUAUAAAGAAUCGGGCCUGCCCACUGAUUAAGUUAAUUAAAGGGCCGCAGUAUUAUAACUGUGCAAAGGUAGCAUAAUCAUUAGGUUUUUAAUUGGGAUCUUGUAUGAAAGGUUGGACAAAAGAAAAUCUGUCUUUGUAUUAGUUUUUGAAUUUAACUUUUAAGUGAAAAGGCUUAAAUAUUCUAAGGGGACGAUAAGACCCUAUAAAACUUUACAUUGUAAUUUUAAUUUAGUUAAAUUUAAAUAUAAAAGCUUAAUUUGAUUAUUUGUUGUAUUGGGGAGAUAUAGGUAAAAUUUAUUAUAACUGCUUAGUGUUUAAACAAUUAUUAAUGAAAUAUAAUUGAUCCUUUUUAAAGAUUAAUAGGUUAAGUUACUUUAGGGAUAACAGCGUAAUUCCCUUUAAGAGUUCUUAUCGAAAGGGGAGGUUGCGACCUCGAUGUUGAAUUAAAAUAUCUAUAUAGUGGAGAGGCUAUAUAAGAAGGUCUGUUCGACCUUUAAAUUUUUACAUGAUUUGAGUUCAAACCGGUGUGAG
rnacentral:rRNA from 1 species